rnacentral:lncRNA from 1 species
AUGCAAGUGAAAAAAUAAUAUAUUAAUUUUUUUUUGUUUUUUUUUUUUGAAGAUCGGUUUUUUUUAUAUGUCUAUGUUUAGAUUUUUGUAUGUAGAGCAUUUCUCUUACCAAACUUCCCAAAUUGCAUUCUUUGUCUAUGAUUUGAAUUUUGAUAAAAAUCCAUUCAGGGCACUGCAGUGCAGGGUGACCUGCUAAGCUACCAGUUCUGGGUUCAAAUCCUGGCAUGGCCCUUGGAAUUUUAUUUGAGAUUAAUUUGAAAAAAGUAUUGUAAAGUGGUUCAGUCACCUCUUCAUCCACAACAACCAACAAGUAGUUGGAGAUUAAGCUUCUCCUUUCUUAUGCAAUGUAUUCACAUACAAAUUUAUUUGAGUUGUUUUAAACAUACGCUGUUUUUAAUAUACACUACCCUUCCUACUUGGCAGAUUAUUGACAAUCACUGAUUAGAAAAAUUUUUAAUAUAUUAUAUAUCCCAGCUUAUACUUGUACAUUAUUACUAUUUUAUAAUUACAAUGUUUUUAAUAUAAAUAUUCUUUUAUAUAAAUUAAUGUUAGAAUAACUCAUUUCAAACCCAUUUUUUUCUUAUGUGUAUAUUAAAAUGCAUUCAGUCAUUAAUUAAUUCUUUUGGAAUAGAAUGCAUUAUUUAUUCAUAACAUACAAACCUGAAGAAAACUGUUAGUGUAUUAAAUUAUGUAUAAAUUUAUUUUAAGUUUAAAAGACUAAAAUAAUUCAAAGUUUAAGACUAUAAGAUGUGAACUUUUUUUACUCUUUUGUUGGAAUAUUUUUGCCUUUUUCCCUGAUUAAUAGCCUAUCUGGGCAAAAUAAUUUUCCUUCCAUUUUCAACAUUGUUUGAUUUUAAUGUUAUAUAUAAAUUUUGUGGUUCUUUUUGAAUUUUAUUUAAUUUUUAUCACAUUAUUGUAUCACUACAUGUUCUGUACACAGUAAAAGGACAUUAGCCCAUGAAUAAAAUAAUAAAUACAUUAAAAAAGUAACUAGUAGAAUGCAUUCCUUAAAUGUGAGACAAAACAAAUUAUUCAAAUUAAAUAUUUAAGUGAUAUUGAAAUUAGCUACAAUAAAUUUUAACAAACUAAAGUGAAUUGGUGAUAGUGUAGUACUGAUAACUAACAAAAUAACACACAGAUCAACCACUGAAGAGGUUUAAUGCUGAAAUGCUUCUGACUGAUAUUUAUUUUAUUUCCAGGGAGAAUAGACAAAGAAUGUAUUUAUUCAUUAUGAAGGGAGACUAAAGUAUUAGAAUGGGAAUGAUCCAAAAUGUAAAAGCUAUAAAAAUAUAUUUACUGAUAUUUUUUAAAUAAAUGUCUAGUUCUGAAGGUGGGUUUGAACAUUUUGGCAGUUUAUAUUUAUCACUUGGUCAGAAUUCAAAAUGUUAAUGUAUAUCAAAGACUUGUUAUAAAUCUCCUCCUAUCUGUCUGAUAGAAUCCUGAGAGUUAAGGUUUCAAUUCUAUCUCGUCUUCUCUUUCUCAAUUUCAUCUGAUAUACCACAAGACUCUUUUCUUGGAUCUUUACUAUUUUCCAUGUUCAUAAAGAUCUUCUGUUAGUUCUUAAUUUCAUCUAUAUGCUGAUGAUACUUUAUAUUCAAUGUCUUACAAGCAACAUCUAUUUGCUCAACCGUUAUCUUCAUUCUUUCAAUCAAUGGUCAAAUAAUCACGAUAUUCUUUUAAACUCUAACAAAUUCCAGUCAUUACUAAUUAAAAGAAAAUAAACAAAUAAAACGAUUGCCUAACUCUUCUCAUAUCAAUAGCUCCCCUAUUAUUUUUUGUCCUAAAAUUAAAAAUCUCAGCAGUAUUUUUAACUCCAAGCUUACAUAGCAAUUAUUAAAAAAGUUGACUCAACCUCCAUUCCCUUGUGGAGCUUACAGAGAUUAGCUUCUUCUCACUACAGAAAACUAGAGUUUUCCUUAUUAUAUUUAUAAUAAUGCCUUUAUUCUCUUAUUGAGGCGCCAUGACUCUCAAUCUGCUCAUCGCCUUCAAAUUGCUUAUUAUUCCUGCAUUAGAUUGUUAUGAUCUUAAAUCAAGAGGUCAUAUUUUUUCCCAUAUUAAUGCCUUCAACAGUCUUAACAUUCUAAGCACUUAUAAACUUCUAAUAUACAUAUGUAAAAUUAAAUCAAAUAAAUGCCCUCAAUAUUUA